UACGGGGGGGGCAAGCGUUGUUCGGAAUUACUGGGCGUAAAGGGCGCGUAGGCGGUUCGCUAAGUCGGAUGUGAAAACUCUGGGCUCAACCCAGAGCCUGCAUCCGAAACUGGCGGGCUAGAGUUCUGGAGGGGGUAGCGGAAUUCCUGGUGUAGCGGUGAAAUGCGUAGAUAUCUGGAGGAACACCGGUGGCGAAGGCGGCAUCCUGGACCGGCAUUGACGCUGAGGCGCGAAAGCCAGGGGAGCAAACGGG
rnacentral:rRNA from 1 species